UUUUUAGGUUUACAUUACUAGUAUAAAUCCUAUAAUUUGCUCUACUUUUUAAGAUUGCGUCAUACAACGUCGCUAUAUAUUAUUAGAAGUGGUAACGUAUUGUAAAACAUAAUUAUGCAAUGAGUGGUUUAAUAUAUAAUAAGAUCUUGAAAAAGAAAUUUUCUCUCCCAAUACGCAAUAAGGUUAUUUUACUUAUAGCCCGAAUGGCACACCAUAUUUUUCAAUCUCCUUCAUUCGGCCAUUUUCACACACCGCGCCGUUAGCCUGUUUGCGCUGUUCGUGGAAGUUGCAGAGGAUGUACUCAUCGCAUUUCAACGAUGAUAUAAUAUGUACAGCAAAAAUUGAUGGCAAGGGUGACAUGAAUCAGAUUGACAAGAAUCCAUAUAAUGCUAUCAUCACUGCCAUCAGAUUCAUACAUAGCUUCCUUGUUGUGCCUGUGAAUAGCAAGGUACCAGAUUAUACAGCAGUUAUGUGGAACCAGAUUCCCACAAUAGGGGGACCAGAUUGACACCUACAUUGUACAGAAUUAGGCAGUUAUAUCAGAACUUGAAAAACUGGAUCCAAACAAGACUAUAUUGCUUGGAAGAAACAUGUCGACUCUGAAGUUUACCCUUAAUUUCACUUUACCAUUACUCCUAUUUUGAAAUAUAAUGUAUUACAUUACUUGAGAGUGAAUUUACAUUACACAUUUACAUAACAUACUGUCAGAUAUUAAAGAAAUGGCAGAAAAAUUAUGUCUGUAUUAUGAUUUUUAAUUAUACAUUAACAUAAGUACACAAAAUAUUCAGCAAUGUUAGGAAACAUAUCUAUUAAGUUAUUCAUUGCAUUUGAUUGUCAUCAAUGUUUCAAAUGCUUCAGUCAAUCUCACUAAUAAAAUGAAUUAUUCUAAAUCUUCAAAAUAUCAUCAAAUAUUUGAAGUAGUGUAAAUGUAAUGAAAAAUAAUGUGCAGUACAGUAUGCAUUACAUUACCAUUACUUGUAAUGCAAAAAUGGUCCAUUACACCCGCAUUACAUUGAAACUGGCUGUCAUUUAAUUACCAUUACCACAGGCCUGGUUCUGUCGAGAGGUAUUGAAAUUGUCUGUAGAGACUUUGUCUCAGGAAGUGGCCGAGAUUGGUGGUGACAAUUUUGUUGGAUGUGAAUUUACUGACACACAUGUCUACACUUGCUACACAAUAUAUCAUGUGGUGGUUUCAACAAGAAAGUUCUUACUCUGCAGGAAAUGACGAACAGCUAAUGGAUUCACAUUUUUUCUGACUUUUCUUCUGUACAUUAGAUGCAUUGAAAAAACUUUCCUUUCCAUUAUCUUUUGCUGGUUCAUACUUUGAAAUAAAAUCAAGUCCGAAAAUAAAGUAUUUUGGUUGGGUUUUUUCAAUGAAUUUUAAAAAAUGUAAUCUGUAAUCCUUGCAUAUUUUCUUGGUGUUCUGUGAUUGCAUAGGCCUAUUGAUUUUUAUUUGUAUUCAGGUAUAAUUUCAUCUUCAGUGUCUUGAAAGAAAUUAAUUUUUCAAUAAUGCCAAGAAAAAUGUAGUUAACAGUAUGAUUUAAAAAAAAUAUUGACACGGGUAGGAAUUGAAACCGGAUCUCCUGCUUGAAGGACGGGCUCUCUACCACUCAGCCACGGCGUGUAUGACGUCACUUGGUCAAAAAUCCUUUAUACAUUUACUUGCCCUAGUUGGAAAAACACCAGAAUUGGCUAGCUACAGGGCGCCGCCAUUGUGGACACCCAAAGUUGUGCGGAGAAGAAAAGUUGACAGGAGAUCUGAUUGGUCAUUAACAGAAAAUCUUUGUGAUGGAAUUUAAUAGUGAAAUAUAAGUGAUAAAAAUGACAGGUGACAUAACAGAAUAUGUAGAAAGAUACAGAAGUUAUAAGGGAAGAUCUGAGUGGAGAGGUGAUAUUUGGAUGGACAAUUUCAUUCAGUGCGGAUCUACACUAGUUGUAAACAGGCCAAAAUUUGAAGGAAAAACGCAACGGCCAGCCAUAUAUUUUUUGGUGGAAUUUUGAAGGGGAGAUGAUGAACUUUGCUGAAUGGUGACUGAUUUUUUGAAAAUUGGCUUAAUAAAUAAUUGACAGUGAUUGGAAUUUGUAUGGAAGUCUAUGGGAAAACAUUUGGUGGUGUUUGUCCUAUACUGAGGUAGCGAGAACCAGUUUAUGAGAGAAGACUCGGCUGGAGGUGGGGUGUUGGUUGACAUGAGGAUUUUACGAAGAGAAGAACUGCCAAUGGGGAUUUGACUGAGACCUAUUUGUAGGCCAUAGUUUAUUGCUGCUGCUUUCCUUCCCCUGGAACCGGAUUCUACUUCGACAUAGAGGCUAUACAUUUUGGACACGUAGGUGCAGGUGUUACAUUUAAGCCGUAACCUAGUGCCCAGGCCACGCCUCUCUUCAGAGUCCAAGUCCCAGGUUAGGUCACCAUCACAGCCUGGAUUGGCCCGCCCAUGUUCUUUGAACUCUGCGUUGAACAUGCCACAUGUCUUUUCCAGAUGCAGCAGUCUGUAGGAGUCAUUUUCACACCUGCCGAAAUCAGUUAUGUACCUGAUUACUUCCUAACCAGGCAA